rnacentral:rRNA from 1 species
UACGGAGGAUCCAAGCGUUAUCCGGAUUUAUUGGGUUUAAAGGGUGCGUAGGUGGCUUAUUAAGUCAGGGGUGAAAGACGGUAGCUUAACUAUCGCAGUGCCUUUGAUACUGAUGAGCUUGAAUGAACUAGAGGUAGGCGGAAUGUGACAAGUAGCGGUGAAAUGCAUAGAUAUGUCACAGAACACCAAUUGCGAAGGCAGCUUACUAUGGUUAGAUUGACGCUGAGGCACGAAAGCGUGGGGAUCAAACAGG